rnacentral:rRNA from 1 species
CCGGCGUUGAAUCCAAUUGAACCGCAGGCUUCACCCCUUGUGGUGCUCCCCCGCCAAUUCCUUUAAGUUUCAGACUUGCGUCCGUACUUCCCAGGCGGCAAACUUAACGGCUUCCCUGCGGCACUGCGUUGGCCAUAAGCCAACGCAUCACCGAGUUUGCAUCGUUUACAGCUGGGACUACCCGGGUAUCUAAUCCGGUUUGCUCCCCCAGCUUUCAUCCCUCACCGUCGAACGCGUUCUGGCAGACCGCCUUCGCCACUGGUGGUCCUCGAUGGAUCAGUGGAUUUUACCCCUACCCACCGAAUACCGUCUGCCUCUCCCGCUCCCUAGCUAUGUAGUAUCUCCGGCAGCCCAUCUGUUGAGCAGUUGGAUUUAACCGGAGACUUGCAUAGCCGGCUACGGAUGCUUUAGGCCCAAUAAACCUCCUGACCACUCGAGGUGCUGGUAUUACCGCGGCGGCUGACACCAGACUUGCCCACCCCUUAUUCGUCUGUGGUUUUACGACUGACAAAAGGUUCCUUUAGCAGGAGCCACUCGGAUUAACCUAGUCGUGCUUUCGCACAUUGCUAAGGUUUCUCGCCUGCUGCGCCCCAUAGGGCCUGGGUCCGUGUCUCAGUACCCAUCUCCGGGCUUCUCCUCUCAGAGCCCGUACCUGUUAUAGCCUUGGUGGGCCAUUACCUCACCAACAAGCUGAUAGGCCGCAGUCCCAUCCUACGGCAAUAAAUUGUUUGAACCAUAAGCCAUUCCAGGCAUCAUGAUCUAUCGUGGUUUAUUCUCAGUUUCCCGAGGUUAUCCACGUCCAUAGGUUAGGUUGACUACGUGUUACUGAGCCGUCCGCCUUGUAUUGCUACAAUGACUCGCAUGGCUCAGUACCAAUCCGAUAGCAGUCAGGUCCGGCGGGAAUCAACC